rnacentral:rRNA from 1 species
GAUGAACGCUAGCGGCAGGCCUUACACAUGCAAGUCGAGGGGUAACAGGGAAAAGCUUGCUUUUCCGCUGACGACCGGCGCACGGGUGCGUAACACGUAUGCAACCUACCUCUUACUGGGGGAUAGCCCAGAGAAAUUUGGAUUAACACCCCAUAGUAUCACCAGUUCGCAUGUUCAGGUGAUUAAAGGUUACGGUAAGAGAUGGGCAUGCGCCCCAUUAGCUAGUUGGUGAGGUAACGGCUCACCAAGGCUACGAUGGGUAGGGGGUCUGAGAGGACUAUCCCCCACACUGGUACUGAGACACGGACCAGACUCCUACGGGAGGCAGCAGUGAGGAAUAUUGCGCAAUGGACGAAAGUCUGACGCAGCCAUGCCGCGUGCAGGAUGACGGCGCUACGCGUUGUAAACUGCUUUUAUAUGCCAAGAAACCUUCGGACGUGUCCGAAGCUGACGGUAGCAUAUGAAUAAGCACCGGCUAACUCCGUGCCAGCCGCCGCCGUAACAC